rnacentral:lncRNA from 1 species
CGCCGGCCCUUUCUAUUUUGUCAGAUAAAAAUAGACCACAACAUAUUAUCAGCACGCUCCUACCGCUGUGCUUAGGAAUCUGACGUUGGAGAUUUUUUUUCUGCAUCAAAUCAGUUCAUCCAUAUCAUCACGCAAUCAGGUUCUUUCCAAACAACGGUUUUUAACUCGAUAUUUUGCAAGCCUUGAUAGCAUGAACAUUCACCAUGAUGCAUGACCCAACUUUACGUUUAACGUAUUUUAGAUUCUACAUAAAUUGUGUAUGCUUCAUAACCAAAAUUGCUACAAUUAUGUGAAUUUGAUAUUUGUCAUGAAUUGAAUCUUACAUAUGUACAUGCAUUGAAACUAUUAUUUGCAUAUGCAUCAAAGUAAAUAUGUGAUUCAUUGAAUUAUACAUGCAUAUAAUAUAAUUGAAUCGGAAAAGAUUGGAAUUGAGGAAUUAGGGUUCUGUUCGAACCCGUGCACUUGCACCAUGCAAGCCACAAGCCACCAGGCCCGCAGCUUGCGAUGGCCCAACCCAUCCCCCAUGCUUUCCCGAGCCGAGAACCAAUCCUGGAGCCACGGCUCUAGGCCCAACACCCAGACCCGAUGCCCAGAAGGCGUCGCCACCCAUGAAAUCGUCAACCAACAUGGCCUGCAGCCAUGCCCAGU